AAGUCGUAACAAUUGUUAACAGUUGUUCGGUUUUUUUACCCAAUGUAUUACAUUGAGCUUCACAUUAAACUGUGGGGUUAUAAGGGGGCAUGGGGACCCUUUGGCAUAGCUCCUGCCCGAGUGUACGGUCUACAGGAAUCGUUGAAGCGCUAUCCUUGCACAAUCAGUGACACUUUCAGACACUAACUGCUUGGGGAAACAAUGCCUAUGAAACUACCGCUCGAUUGUAACUGUUCCAAUGUUCUCACGUAGCCAGAGGUCUCUGAAUCAAAACUACUUUCCGGGCUAUGAUUUACCAGAGAUUGCGAACUACGCGGGUUACAAGAGCAGGAUUGAAUGUUCACGGGGGGGGUUUUUUACGUUUGGAUACGUGUUAAUGAUCCUUCCGCAGGUUCACCGGGAUAUCUUGGUUCUC
rnacentral:misc_RNA from 1 species